rnacentral:rRNA from 1 species
AUUGAACGCUGGCGGCAGGCCUAACACAUGCAAGUCGAACGGUAACAGGAAGCAGCUCGCUGCUUUGCUGACGAGUGGCGGACGGGUGAGUAAUGUCUGGGAAACUGCCUGAUGGAGGGGGAUAACUACUGGAAACGGUAGCUAAUACCGCAUAACGUCGCAAGACCAAAGAGGGGGACCUUAGGGCCUCUUGCCAUCUGAUGUGCCCAGAUGGGAUUAGCUAGUAGGUGGGGUAACGGCUCACCUAGGCGACGAUCCCUAGCUGGUCUGAGAGGAUGACCAGCCACACUGGAACUGAGACACGGUCCAGACUCCUACGGGAGGCAGCAGUGGGGAAUAUUGCACAAUGGGCGCAAGCCUGAUGCAGCCAUGCCGCGUGUAUGAAGAAGGCCUUCGGGUUGUAAAGUACUUUCAGCGGGGAGGAAGGGAGUAAAGUUAAUACCUUGGCUCAUUGACGUUACCCGCAGAAGAAGCACCGGCUAACUCCGUG